rnacentral:rRNA from 1 species
AGACGGAGGAGGCAAGCGUUGCUCGGAUUUACUGGGCUUAAAGCGUGCGUAGGCGGCCCGGUAAGUGUCGCGUGAAAGCCCCCGGCUCAACCGGGGAAGUGCGCGGCAAACUGCCGGGCUUGAGGCCGGCAGGGGCGCCUGGAAUUCUCGGUGUAGCGGUGAAAUGCGUAGAUAUCGGGAGGAAUACCGGUGGCGAAGGCGACUUUCUGGCUAGAUACUGACGCUGAGGCGCGAAAGCGUGGGGAGCAAACAGGAUUAGAAACCCCUGUAGUCC